rnacentral:tRNA from 1 species
GUCGAUAGCUCAAUCGGUAGAGCAGGAGCCUUUUAAGCUCUUGGUUCUGGGUUCGAGUCCCAGUCGG